CCCUUCUCAGUAUUACAUCUGGAGAGUUUCCAGUACUCUACUAGUUUUGGCUACGGGAGGGAGAGUCAAGGAAAGGCAUAUCCAUUCCAUUCCUAGCUUGGCCAGUGGCUAGCAAGUGGAAGGCAAUCUACUACAAGU